rnacentral:rRNA from 1 species
GUGUGUGAAGAAAGGUCUUCGGAUUGUAAAGCACUUUAAGUUGGGAGGAAGGGCAGUUACCUAAUACGUGAUUGUCUUGACGUUACCGACAGAAUAAGCACCGGCUAACUCUGUGCCAGCAGCCGCGGUAAUACAGAGGGUGCAAGCGUUAAUCGGAAUUACUGGGCGUAAAGCGCGCGUAGGUGGUUUGUUAAGUUGAAUGUGAAAUCCCCGGGCUCAACCUGGGAACUGCAUCCAAAACUGGCAAGCUAGAGUAUGGUAGAGGGUAGUGGAAUUUCCUGUGUAGCGGUGAAAUGCGUAGAUAUAGGAAGGAACACCAGUGGCGAAGGCGACUACCUGGACUGAUACUGACACUGAGGUGCGAAAGCGUGGGGGAGCAAAACAGGAUUAGAUACCCUGGUAGUCCACGCCGUAAACGAUGUCAACUAGCCGUUGGGAGUCUUGAACUCUUAGUGGCGCAGCUAACGCAUUAAGUUGACCGCCUGGGGGAGUACGGCCCGCAAGGUUAAAACUUCAAAUGAUUUGACGGGGCCCCGCACAAGCGGUGGAGCAUGUGGUUUAAUUCGAAGCAACGCGAAGAACCUUACCAGGCCUUGACAUUCAAUGAACUUUCCAGAGAUAUGAUUGGUGCUCUUCGGGAACAUUGAGACAGGUGCCUGCAUGGCUGUCGUCAGCUCG